rnacentral:rRNA from 1 species
GUUGUAUGGUUAAGUGACUAAGCGUACACGGUGGAUGCCUGGGCAGUCAGAGGCGAUGAAGGACGUACUAACUUGCGAUAAGCGCAGAUAAGGCAGUAAGAGCCGUUUGAGUCUGCGAUUUCCGAAUGGGGAAACCCAACUGCAUAAGCAGUUACUGUUAACUGAAUACAUAGGUUAACAGAGCAAACCGGGGGAACUGAAACAUCUAAGUACCCCGAGGAGAAGAAAUCAACCGAGAUUCCGGUAGUAGCGGCGAGCGAACCUGGAUUAGCCCUUAAGCACUCGGUGAAGUAGGUGAACAAGCUGGAAAGCUUGGCGAUACAGGGUGAUAGCCCCGUAACCGACGCUUCAUCGAGCGUGAAAUCGAGUAGGGCGGGACACGUGAUAUCCUGUCUGAAUAUGGGGGGACCAUCCUCCAAGGCUAAAUACUCCUGACUGACCGAUAGUGAACCAGUACCGUGAGGGAAAGGCGAAAAGAACCCCUGUGAGGGGAGUGAAAUAGAACCUGAAACCGUGUACGUACAAGCAGUAGGAGCACCUUCGUGGUGUGACUGCGUACCUUUUGUAUAAUGGGUCAGCGACUUAUAUUCAGUGGCAAGGUUAACCGUAUAGGGGAGCCGUAGCGAAAGCGAGUCUUAACUGGGCGCUCAGUCUCUGGAUAUAGACCCGAAACCGGGUGAUCUAGCCAUGGGCAGGUUGAAGGUUGAGUAACAUCAACUGGAGGACCGAACCGACUAAUGUUGAAAAAUUAGCGGAUGACUUGUGGCUAGGGGUGAAAGGCCAAUCAAACUCGGAGAUAGCUGGUUCUCCCCGAAAGCUAUUUAGGUAGCGCCUCGGACGAAUACUACUGGGGGUAGAGCACUGUUAAGGCUAGGGGGUCAUCCCGACUUACCAACCCUUUGCAAACUCCGAAUACCAGUAAGUACUAUCCGGGAGACACACGGCGGGUGCUAACGUCCGUCGUGGAGAGGGAAACAACCCAGACCGCCAGCUAAGGUCCCAAAGUAUUGCUAAGUGGGAAACGAUGUGGGAAGGCUCAGACAGCUAGGAUGUUGGCUUAGAAGCAGCCAUCAUUUAAAGAAAGCGUAAUAGCUCACUAGUCGAGUCGGCCUGCGCGGAAGAUGUAACGGGGCUAAGCAAUACACCGAAGCUGCGGCAAUAUCUUUUAGAUAUUGGGUAGGGGAGCGUUCUGUAAGCCGUUGAAGGUGGAUCGUAAGGUUUGCUGGAGGUAUCAGAAGUGCGAAUGCUGACAUGAGUAACGACAAAGGGGGUGAAAAACCUCCUCGCCGGAAGACCAAGGGUUCCUGUCCAACGUUAAUCGGGGCAGGGUGAGUCGACCCCUAAGGUGAGGCCGAAAGGCGUAAUCGAUGGGAAACGGGUUAAUAUUCCCGUACUUCUGACUAUUGCGAUGGGGGGACGGAGAAGGCUAGGUG